rnacentral:rRNA from 1 species
GACGAACGCUGGCGGCGUGCUUAACACAUGCAAGUCGAACGGAAAGGCCCUGCUUUUGUGGGGUGCUCGAGUGGCGAACGGGUGAGUAACACGUGAGUAACCUGCCCUUGACUUUGGGAUAACUUCAGGAAACUGGGGCUAAUACCGGAUAGGAUCUCCUGCUGCAUGGUGGGGGUUGGAAAGUUUCGGCGGUUGGGGAUGGACUCGCGGCUUAUCAGCUUGUUUGUGGGGUAGUGGCUUACCAAGGCUUUGACGGGUAGCCGGCCUGAGAGGGUGACCGGCCAAAUUGGGACUGAGAUACGGACCAGACUCCUACGGGAGGCAGCAGUGGGGAAUAUUGCACAAUGGGCGGAAGCCUGAUGCAGAAACGCCGCGUGCGGGAUGACGGCCUUCGGGUUGUAAACCGCUUUCGCAUGUGACGAAGCGUGAGUGACGGUAAUGGGUAAAGAAGCACCGGCUAACUACGUG